UACGGAGGGGGCAAGCGUUAUUCGGAAUUAUUGGGCGUAAAGGGCGCGUAGGCGGCUAGAUGUGUCAAAGGUGAAAUCCCUCGGCUCAACUGAGGAACUGCCUUUGAAACUGUCUGGCUUGAGGCCGGGAGAGGGUAGCGGAAUUCCCAGUGUAGCGGUGAAAUGCGUAGAUAUUGGGAAGAACACCGGUGGCGAAGGCGGCUAUCUGGACCGACAUUGACGCUGAGGCGCGAAAGCGUGGGGAGCAAACAGG
rnacentral:rRNA from 1 species